AUGGAUGUAGGAAGUGGAUUUCUCUCUGUGUCCCCAGUCAUCUGAGUCUCCUGAUGUGGGCACACUGUAUCACAAGUCAAAUGGAAGUGUCUCACUGUUCUGGUCUCCCCAGGAUCUUCAGCCACCAAGAUAUCAAGGCCAAUCUGGCAGCAGGGAUGAGAAGGCCUCAUGAAGGCGUCUACAAGGGACUGGGGCAGAAGACAUGAGGCCUGGGCAGUGCUGCAUCAACCCAGAUGGAUUUCUAGAGUGCUGGGUCUGGCCUGUCCUGGCUGUGGCACCAGAAGAGACAGCGUCAGGUCUGUUUAGAGGUGACAGCAUCAAGCCCACCACGCCUGCCCUGCAAGCAUGUAUCUGGGUAUCUGCAAUGUGGUGUGAAAAGCCCUGCCACCCCAAGGCAGCUGGGCAUUACCUUCGUGUACUGACACCAGCUUCCUGUGACUGACAGUUGGCUUUUGCUCAGGGCACUCACCUAGCCACAUUGGACAGGUCCAAGUGCUUCUGAACCUCCAGCAGAACCUCCCGGAAGAAGCGCAGGCGCUUCUCUUCAAACUGCUGACACUGCUCGAACACCUGCUCCAUGUUCUCCAUGUACUGGGGUGUGGUCUGAUCAAGCUCCUUCAGGGCCUUCUCAUACUUGUCCUUGGUCUGUGUUCAAAAUGCCAUAGACAGAGACUGUAUGAAACCUAGAGUUCAUGGAUUCAGCUACACAGGUUGGCCAGCAACUGCCCAGGAUCCUCUCAUCUCUGUUUCACACAACUGGGACUACAGGUCUUCCACAGCAGGCUCCCAAUGAAACCAUGAGCGAGCAGUAAAGCGACAGAGUCACCAGGAGAGCAUGUGGUGCUACAGAGAUCAGCUGUCAGGAGUUCUUUCCAGAAGACCAAGUUCAAUUCCCAGCACCUAUGUUAGGUGGCUCACAACUGACUAGCUCCAGCUCCAGGAGGAUCUCAUCUGGCUCCUGUGGGUACACACACACACUAUUAUUUGAAAAUCUGCAAGGGAAUUAAUUUCU